GACGGGGCCGCACAAGCGGUGGAGCAUGUGGUUAAUUCGAAGCAACGCGAAGAACCUUACCAGGUCUUGACAUCCCGAUGCUAUUCUAGAGAUAGAAAGUUACUUCGGUACAUCGGUGACAGGUGGUGCAUGGUUGUCGUCAGCUCGUGUCGUGAGAUGUUGGGUUAAGUCCCGCAACGAGCGCAACCCCUAUUGUUAGUUGCCAUUAUUCAGUUGGGCACUCUAGCGAGACUGCCGGUAAUAAACCGGAGGAAGGUGGGGAUGACGUCAAAUCAUCAUGCCCCUUAUGACCUGGGCUACACACGUGCUACAAUGGUUGGUACAACGAGUUGCGAGUCGGUGACGGCGAGCUAAUCUCUUAAAGCCAAUCUCAGUUCGGAUUGUAGGCUGCAACUCGCCUACAUGAAGUCGGAAUCGCUAGUAAUCGCGGAUCAGCACGCCGCGGUGAAUACGUUCCCGGGCCUU
rnacentral:rRNA from 1 species